UACGGAGGGGGCUAGCGUUGUUCGGAAUCACUGGGCGUAAAGCGCACGUAGGCGGACUGGAAAGUCAGAGGUGAAAUCCCAGGGCUCAACUCCGGAACUGCCUUUGAUACUCCCGGUCUUGAGGUCGAGAGAGGUGAGUGGAAUUGCGAGUGUAGAGGUGAAAUUCGUAGAUAUUCGCAAGAACACCAGUGGCGAAGGCGGCUCACUGGCCCGAUACUGACGCUGAGGUGCGAAAGCGUGGGGAGCAAACAGG
rnacentral:rRNA from 1 species